rnacentral:tRNA from 1 species
CAAGAUAUAGCUUAACGAAAGCAUCUAGUUCACACCUAGAAGAUUUCACACGUUAUGAAUAUCUUGA